GGGCCAUAGCUCAGCUGGCUAGAGUGCUUGACUGGCAGUCAAGAGGUCGAGGGUUCGACUCCCUCUGGCUCC
rnacentral:tRNA from 1 species